CGGUUGGCAUUACCGACCGCGUCCGUCGUCGUUUCACCCAGCGUCUACAUCGAUCGGCGUCCGGCUGCAGCAGCUGUAGCUUGCAGCUGUCUACAUAAGCAUCACGACAAGUUAUAUCGUGCAUUCAUCCAUGGCAUAUUAUCAAGCAGCGGCAGCUGCCGCCGGCAGCCGGCUAGACGGUGUCUGGCAGCUGCUGCGUAGAAAACGCAUUAUUCACAUCGCAGGCACCCCUCGAGCAGAUGCGCGAUUGGCUAUAAUAUUAUUUUCUCUGUGCAGUCUGCUCCCAGCCAGCCGUCCUCUUGUUUGUUGUCGUUUACAUUAAACAUUUUGUCGUUCGGCUCGGACCAGGGUGGUUGUCGUGCAAUUAAUAUGAUUGUACUGCGACCACCUUGGUCUGGAUUUUGGACAUGUUUGUUCGCGUGCGGAAUCGAAUGCCGUUCAAAGUCAACAUCAAUGUUUCCUUACGUCAAUCGAUACGGGCGGAAGAGCAUUCAAGAAGGCAGUCAACCUUGGUCUGGACUUAGGACUGCCAAACAUUUUUGUUCGCGUGCGGAAUCGAACGUCCGGUGAAAGUCAACAUCAAUUCUUUCAUACGUCAAUUGAUAUGGGCGUAAGAGCAUUCAAGAUGGCAGCCAAGAUGACCCACUCAAUCUCAAACCUGAUCCAUUGUUUUCACAUUCUGCUGUGGUUAUGGUAAUUUAAUCCAAAACAAAUCCAUUUUCGUAUGCGUACCUACUUCAGAAAUAUAAUUACCCCGAUUCUGUAGCAACCCUACUCCAAGACUAACCGUUUUUAUAUACGUAUUCCAUGCAGUCUAGAUGUCUAUUGCUUCAGCCUUGGCACGUGUGUUUUUACCCGAUGGACAUACUGGCUAUGGGGUAGAAGUAUGUGUGCCAAGGCUGUGGCAUUUAGAUUGCUUGGCAUAUGUAUAUAAAAACGUCUAACCUUGUCGUUAUAUUACAUCAGAAGGCCACUAACUCGGAACAAUUAGAUUAUCUGAAAUAUGUGCAUGGAAACAGGAUUAUAUACUGACCUAAUCAUUCAAUUAAUAAUAAUGUUCUAUUCUCUACCUUUAUAAAAAUAAAUUGCCAUAGUUUAAAUAAUACAAUAAUUACAGUUUAUAAUAUAAAUAUGAUAAUAUUUUUUUUUUAAGUAAAACACAACUUGCUGUUAUAUUUUUAGAUAUUUGUAACAUUUUAACAAAGUUCAUAAUUAAACA